GGUGCAGCAGAGGGGCAGUGGCUGGUAGCACAGGAAGGGAGUGUGGGACUUAAGGGCAAAGGGGACACAAUGUAGGGGUUAGGGCACAGGAGGGGGCAGGAGAUAGGGGUGAAGGAGGUGCAAGGGUUGGGAGUGCAGGAGCUGGGGGGAAAGGGGGAGGGGGAUCGUCCAGGGGCGAUGGGGAACUGCUAAAGUACAAGUUUUGCCCAGGGCACCAUUUCCCCUAACUCUGGUCCUUGAUAACAUUUCUUGCUGGGAGGGGGAGGGGAGAGAGAUGAGGCGUUUUCUCUCUGUUUCUUUCCUCUCCAUUUUCUGCUCCUUCCUUCAAUUCCAGAAACCUCCCUUGUGUUUCAGACUGUGCAGUGACGCCCUCCCUACCCCAGGCCUCUGGAGCCUUUGGAGCCGAAAGAUCCCAGGAGCUGAGGAGGAAUCCAGGGAUGCAUUCAAAUGGCAGCUGUUUACAGGUCAUGGGCUGCUAGUUCAUGAGCAGGAGCAGAGUCUCUGUAAGUUUACCAACCAUAGAGCUUGUUAUGUCUGCAUCUAAAUUGUGCAGUGACACCCUCCCCACCCCAGGCCUCUGGAGCCUUUGGAGCAGAAAGAUCCCAGGAGCUGAGGAGGAAUCCAGGGGUGAGUAGCUGGCAAGAAGGAGUCCUAGCAGCUCUUCUGGGAGUGCAGGGGAGAAAUGACUCCCCCUUCUCUAGAU